UACGUAGGGUGCGAGCGUUGUCCGGAAUUACUGGGCGUAAAGAGCUCGUAGGUGGUUUGUCGCGUUGUUCGUGAAAACUCACAGCUUAACUGUGGGCGUGCGGGCGAUACGGGCAGACUGGAGUACUGCAGGGGAGACUGGAAUUCCUGGUGUAGCGGUGGAAUGCGUAGAUAUCAAGAGGAACACCUGAGGUGAAGACGGGUUGCUGGGCCGACACUGACGGCUGAUGCGC
rnacentral:rRNA from 1 species